rnacentral:rRNA from 1 species
AUUGAACGCUGGCGGCAUGCUUUACACAUGCAAGUCGGACGGCAGCAUAAAAGAGCUUGCUCUUUUGAUGGCGAGUGGCGAACGGGUGAGUAAUGCAUCGGAACGUACCGAGUAGUGGGGGAUAACUGUCCGAAAGGAUGGCUAAUACCGCAUAUUCUCUGAGGAGGAAAGCAGGGGACCUUAGGGCCUUGCGCUAUUUGAGCGGCCGAUGUCUGAUUAGCUAGUUGGUGGGGUAAGAGCCCACCAAGGCGACGAUCAGUAGCGGGUCUGAGAGGAUGAUCCGCCACACUGGGACUGAGACACGGCCCAGACUCCUACGGGAGGCAGCAGUGGGGAAUUUUGGACAAUGGGCGCAAGCCUGAUCCAGCCAUGCCGCGUGUAUGAAGAAGGCCUUCGGGUUGUAAAGUACUUUUGUCAGGGAAGAAAAGCCUGAGGAUAACACCCUCAGGUCAUGACGGUACCUGAAGAAUAAGCACCGGCUAACUACGUGCCAGCAGCCGCGGUAAUACGUAGGGUGCGAGCGUUAAUCGGAAUUACUGGGCGUAAAGCGAGCGCAGGCGGUUAUUUAAGCAAGAUGUGAAAGCCCCGGGCUCAACCUGGGAACUGCGUUUUGAACUGGGUAACUAGAGUGUGUCAGAGGGGGGUAGAAUUCCACGUGUAGCAGUGAAAUGCGUAGAGAUGUGGAGGAAUACCGAUGGCGAAGGCAGCCCCCUGGGAUAACACUGACGUUCAUGCUCGAAAGCGUGGGUAGCAAACAGG